AACAGGAUUAGGAGUAGGGGCAUGAGGGGACUCACACCGGUAACCUGUCCCCAUACCUCUCCAACCAAACUCCAUGGACAACAGACUUGGUAGCCGGGAGCCCCUGCCCCGUCUCUCGUCGGUGGCAUCCCUCCGCUUCGUGCGCAGCGGCGAGCCCCGCGGGACGCGGCGUGGAGCUCCCGGCCCCUCCCGUGGAUCCCGUGGAUCCCCGUGGCCGCCCGCCCGCGCCGCACCCACUUCCUCUUUCCCUUCCGCGCGCGCCAGCCAACCGCUCGCCAAAAAGAAAAUUCCUGUCACUUCUGACACAGGAAGCGGGGAAGGCCGCGCCCGAGCGACCAGCGGUGCAUCUCGGCCGCGCCCCGGGGACGUUUAAGUGGGCCGCGGGGUCCCGCCUGGGCCUGGGCCUGGGCCUCAGCCCCGCCCGGCCGGGUCCUCCAGCCGGCUCGGCCCUCCCCGCCCGGCCGGGUCCUCCUCGGGCGCGGUGGCGGCCCGCUCCUCCGCCGCCCGCCCGCCAUGGAGGUGGAGGAGGCGUUCCAGGCGGUGGGCGAGAUGGGCCUCUACCAGAUGUACUUGUGCUUCCUGCUGGCCGUGCUGCUGCAGCUUUAUGUGGCCACAGAGGCCAUCCUCAUUGCACUAAUUGGAGCUACACCAUCGUAUCACUGGGACAUGGCCGAGCUCCUGCCCAACCAGAGCCACAGCAAUCAGUCAGAUGGCCAAGACCAGGCCUUUGGUGACUGGCUUCUGACCGCCAAUGGCAGCGAGAUCCAUAAGCACGUGCAUUUCAGCAGCAGCUUUACCUCUAUCGCCUCUGAGUGGUUUUUAAUUGCCAACCGAUCUUACAAGGUCAGCGUGGCCAGCUCCUUUUUCUUCAGUGGUGUGUUUGUCGGCGUUAUCUCCUUUGGCCAGCUUUCAGAUCGCUUCGGAAGGAAAAAAGUCUAUCUCACAGGUUUUGCUCUUGACAUCUUAUUUGCUAUCGCAAAUGGAUUUUCCCCCUCAUAUGAAUUCUUUGCAGUGACUCGCUUCUUGGUGGGCAUGAUGAAUGGAGGAAUGUCCCUGGUGGCCUUUGUCUUGCUAAAUGAAUGCGUGGGCACCGCCUACUGGGCACUUGCAGGAUCCAUCGGCGGUCUCUUCUUUGCUGUUGGCAUCGCGCAAUAUGCCCUGUUAGGGUACUUCAUCCGCUCCUGGAGGACCCUAGCUGUCCUGGUCAACCUUCAGGGAACAGUAGUCUUUCUCUUAUCUUUAUUCAUUCCUGAAUCCCCUCGUUGGUUAUACUCCCAGGGUCGGCUGAGUGAGGCAGAAGAGGCUCUCUACUUCAUCGCCAAGAGGAACCGCAAGCUCAAGUGCACGUUCUCACUAACACAUCCGGCCAACAGGAGCUGCAGGGAAACCGGAAGCUUCCUGGAUCUCUUCCGUUACCGGGUCCUCCUAGGACAUACUCUGAUCCUGAUGUUCAUCUGGUUCGUGUGCAGCUUGGUGUACUACGGCCUCACCCUGAGUGCGGGGGAUCUAGGGGGCAGUAUUUAUGCCAACCUGGCUUUAUCUGGCCUCAUAGAGAUUCCGUCCUACCCUCUCUGCAUCUACCUGAUUAACCAAAGAUGGUUUGGUCGGAAGCGGACACUAGCAGCAUUUCUGUGCCUGGGAGGACUGGCCUGUCUUAUUGUGAUGUUUCUUCCUGAAAAAAAAGACACAGGUGUGUUUGCGGUGGUCAACAGCCGCUCCUUGUCCCUGCUGGGGAAGCUGACGAUCAGUGCAGCCUUCAACAUUGUUUACAUCUACACCUCUGAGCUGUACCCCACUGUCAUCAGGAACGUUGGCCUUGGAGCGUGUUCCAUGUUCUCCCGAGUGGGCGGGAUCCUUGCCCCCUUCAUACCCUCACUGGUUGAAGGACCUGCAGUGGUCCCUGCCCUUCAUCGUGUUUGGAACCACCGGCCUGACCUCAGGCAUCCUGAGCCUGCUAUUGCCAGAGACUCUGAACAGCCCCUUGCUGGAGACAUUUUCUGACCUUCAGAUGUACUCGUACAGGAGGUUAGGGGAGGAAGCCUUGUCUCUACAGACUUUGGAUCCUCCACAGCCCCUGGACAAGGCCAGCACCUUGGGGAGCGAGAGUGAGGAGGAGGAGUUCUAUGAUGCAGAUGAGGAGACACAGAUGAUCAAGUGAAGAGCCCACAUUCCUCCCAGAAGCAAAGCAUCCUCAUCAUGUGUGCCUUGGGUUCAGCUUAACCGCCAGUGAUAUCCUCCACCCACUGACAUUUCCAGACUCAGGAUGAGGUUGGAGGAGAUUCCUAAAGGGAGAACCUUGGCACAUUGAGAGAGUCAUUGCUAAUUUGUCCAGAAUUGGGGCUGAGCUCAGCACCAUGCCUCUGACCACACAGCUCAGGUCCACCAUCCAGAUGGCUGAUUUGUGUGUCUCAUGCUGCUUCCUUUCUGUGGGACCCAAGAGCAGGUGUGUGAAACCACUCACAGUUUACUAGGAUUAGCCAGAGCUUCCCCCAAGAUUUCACCUUCUUAGUCCACUUGACAUCUGUCCCUGUCACUUGCUGCUCCCCAUCAGGAAUCUUCUGGUACAAGGUGAUGUGUUCAGAGCCCCCAGCUGGCGAAAUGAGUCUUCAGCUGGUUCCCACCCAUUGAUUGACAGCACAGCUUGGGCCUUUAGUCUGCGACCGUUCACUAGGAGAAGCCAGAGUCAACAGGGCAGUUUGCGGCGUCAGAGGACUGGCUGUGGCUUGGUAGCUCCCUUGACACUUGGGUUGUGCAAUGUUUCCAGUUAAACACUUGGGAGAUUUUUCUCUGUGAGAUUCUAGCGUCAGCAAUAACUUCAAAAUCAUGCACAGUCACUAAUGAAACUCUCCAAGUUGGGGGAAGUCAACAAGGGAUGUGCUGGCACUUUUUAAAUGGGACUUAAAUUCAGAGUGACGAUUUUCUCUCACAGUGUUUGCGGUCUUCAGUGUGCAGUGAGGGAUUUGGACGGCACAGCAGGGCUUGAACCCUGCCCUACAGGAGCCAUUACUUGUUUACUCAAAUGGCAUGAUGAUUUUUAAAGAAAAUGUUGAGUUUUCAUUAAGUGCUUCCAUUGCUUUCCAAAUAAAUCAAAAUCAUACUUCAUAUCUGUUUCUCACAAAACAUGAACACUUUCAAAGAGGCAUACAAGCCAAGAGUCCAUGUGUGGGCGAUUGAUCACUUUCCCAGUCAGGGAAAUUGCUGUGUGUUUAGAAUGUCUGUUUAUGCUUACUUGGAAACAGAAAGCACACAAAUAUGAAGGAAAGGUACACUGUGGAUGCUUCUGGAAAUCAUGAGUUGCAUCCUGUUGCCUUCUCCAUGUUGUCUUGGCUUACACUGACAUUAUACCCACCUGUUCCUUUGUUAAAACACUGUUUUCCUUGAUGCCCUUGAUGAUGGGGGAGCUAUUUCUACCACUGGAGAGAACAUUGGCUAUGAUACAGUGAAAACCUUAUAGGUGGUAAUGUGUCUAGCUCUCAGGAAGGUUAUGGAACUCCCUGCAGCAUCAUAUCCUCAAAUCUCAGCACAGUGUGCCCCACACCCCCAAACUGUGGAGUCCUGCUUCUGUCUUCUCUGGGAAAUGGAGGUCAGCUCUCCUUAGAGGAAGAGAAGGGCUUCCAGAAACCCUUGGUUCUUGUCAAAUAAAGUGUUUAAAAUAAAGCAGUAAAUUAAUAUAUAUGUAA